rnacentral:lncRNA from 1 species
CUACUUUUGAUUCCAAAGUGAAACGAGCCGAGGUUUGCCUGCCGCACCCAGAACUUUGCCCAAACCCUCUUCUGCACUUUCCCCAGGGCUGCCCCCGGCGAGCCCAGCCCCCGGCUGAGCACUCGGACACUGAUCCCCGGUGCAGAGCUGGGGGAGCACUCAAGGGCUACCAGGUGGUUGGGUGUGGAGUUUUGGCAGCAAGGAGUAAUUAACAUGGAGACAAAAGGCUGCCAUGAAGAUGGAGAUCUAGGCAAACAUAGUGUUCUAGCACCUCUAAUGAUGGAAACAGACAUUUCAGAGUGAAAAAUGAUAACAUGAUUUUUAUGUGACUCAUAUGCAAAAUGAAAUACUUUCAUCUAUGAGGUCGGCUGAUGGGAAAUAAAAUCAGAUAUUUCACUUCUAACUCCGUCAAGCAAAAGAAAAAUCGGUUGUGAUUCCAAGAAGAGAUGAACUCUUGGUAAGGAAAUAUUUGUUUUACAAUUUUCAGAAAGAAUUAUCAAAUAACAUACUGUAAACAAGUCGAAUGCCUAAGCAUAUUCUUUGUUUGUUUUAAAUGAAACCAUAAAUGGUACAUGAGGGAACACAGUAACAUUUGAGGAAGAGGCAAUUGCAUGAAAAUUUAAAUUUCUUCCUGUGUUCAUAAAAAAUAAAAUUCAGGUGUCAUGGAAAAACACCUCUCAUCUUUUGAGCUUUACAUUAGUAAGCUGUCAACUCCUUGAAGAAAAGAAAGAUAGUUUAGCUUUGCUAUCAUGUGUUUUUUCGAACUUACUUGAUCAUGUUGGUUUUAAAUUCAUAUAUAGAUGGAGCCUUGGAUCCUUUGUUGUUUAUUUUAAUUUCUAGAUUUAAAUUGUGUAAUCUAAAAGUAUGUGACAACUUAUAAUGGUCUUUUUAAAGUAAAUUUCAAUUUUCCUGGUACAAGCAUAUGUUUUGACAAGAUGGCAUUGAAUCUGUAUAAGUUUAAUUGCCACAAUUGUUUGGUCAAAUAUUUGAUUUGGGGAUUCGUCAGUGAGAUAAAGAAGUCAGCCACAAGAACUUUAUAUGAAAACUGAUUUCGUAGAAAGAUGCUUCUUCCAUUUGCUUCUUCUAGUCAACGGAAGGGUGAAAUCUUGUCU